CAUUCGAACCACUUGCUCGCAUAACAUAACAUUGGGGCAAAGAACAAGAGAAAGACGAUGGUGCUUCCUGACAUCCUGAUCAACAAUAGCCCCUGAAUUAUCAGAAAAUUGGCAUAGCUUAUCAAUCAACGGCACUAGGUGCAAUAGCCCCUGAAUUAUCAGACAAUUGGCAUAGCUUAUCAAUCAACGGCACUAGGUAACCAUGAGUCUUGCCGCUACCAGUCUCUGCAGCAACCACCACAUCAGCAUCUGAAAGUAUACUUGGUAUA
rnacentral:lncRNA from 1 species